AGACUUUAAUGGCAACAUCAACAUCGGUAAACAACAUGGUAUAAAACAGAAAGUAAGUUGAUUUCAAAUGAGAAGAUCUACCCCAAAAAUCAAGGAUUCGGGAUUAUGGCCUCUCUGAGAAGGGACUAGGAGCUUCCCCAUGACAGAUACAGACAGCUCCAAAAGGUAUCCACCACUGGCCAAGGCUGAACCACCUUGCUCAGUACUGGUAACAAUCAAGGCCUCAUCAAGACAGAAAAUGACCACAAUUAAACAGGAG
rnacentral:lncRNA from 1 species